rnacentral:rRNA from 1 species
GCACAGACAACCAGGAGGUUGGCUUAGAAGCAGCCACCCUUGAAAGAGUGCGUAAUAGCUCACUGGUCUAGUGAUUCCGCGCCGACAAUGUAGCGGGGCUCAAGCGUACCGCCGAAGUCGUGUCAUUCAUACAACAGGGCCAACGCCUGUAUGGAUGGGUAGGGGAGCGUCGUGUGCCGGGUGAAGCAGCCGCGUAAGCGAGUUGUGGACGGUUCACGAGUGAGAAUGCAGGCAUGAGUAGCGAUACAAACGUGAGAAACGUUUGCGCCGAUUGACUAAGGGUUCCUGGGUCAAGCUGAUCUGCCCAGGGUAAGUCGGGACCUAAGGCGAGGCCGACAGGCGUAGUCGAUGGAUAACCGGUUGAUAUUCCGGUACCCGCUGUGAAGCGUCAAACAUCGAGCAUCGUGAUGCUAAGGCCGUGAAGCCGCCCGCUGCCGGCUUUGCCGUCAGUGGGAGUGGUGGAGCCGCUGAACCAAGCGGUUAGUAGGUGAGUGAUGGGGUGACGCAGGAAGGUAGUCCAUCCCGGGCGGUGGUUGUCCCGGGGUAAGGGUGUAGGCCGUGCGGUAGGUAAAUCCGUCGCACACAAGGCUGAGACCUGAUGCCGAGCCGAUUGUGGUGAAGUGGAUGAUCCUAUGCUGUCGAGAAAAGCCUCUAGCGAGUUUCAUGGCGGCCCGUACCCUAAACCGACUCAGGUGGUCAGGUAGAGAAUACCGAGGCGUUCGGGUGAACUAUGGUUAAGGAACUCGGCAAAAUGCCCCCGUAACUUCGGGAGAAGGGGGGCCAUUCCUGGUGAUCGGAUUUACUCCGUGAGCUGGGGGUGGCCGCAGAGACCAGCGAGAAGCGACUGUUUACUAAAAACACAGGUCCGUGCGAAGCCGUAAGGCGAUGUAUACGGACUGACGCCUGCCCGGUGCUGGAACGUUAAGGGGACCGG